GGAUUGGUAGAAAAAUUUCCAAAUGUUGGAACGUGUGAUUAUUUCUUGUGGCCAUCAUUCAAUUCCAAGAAAUGGGGCUUAGCUAACCAGAAAACAGAAACGUACUGGCGCACAUCUUUGUUAAGAGAAGUCCUCACUUGCGAUGCUAAGUGAAGUUAAAUCAGAGAAAGACAGAAGUGAAAACUGAAGAAAGAGAGGCCGGCCCUCACUCCCUGGCAAUAUGCAAUCCAAGAUGGCGGACGGUCAGACACUUGAUGCUGCUGAGUGAACAGAGGAGAAAUGAGGACAGAAAAUGGUUUUACCUUUUACAUGAGCCCAGACUGCACAGGUACUUCUUCUCACCU